rnacentral:piRNA from 1 species
GAUGUGUAAUGUAUAGCUAGGAA